CACUUUUAUUUUGUUCUACGUACAAAACUUCAUUUUCAGUAUUCGCCAUCAGGCUUCGAAAAAAUUUAAAUCUGUUAAAGUCAAGUUGAGAAUUAUUCAUAGAAAUUCAUAGUCAUCACCAAAUCCAUGCAAUAUGCAGCUCCAAAGACUGUCAAUUCUUUAAUUGUUUUCGGAAUAAAUGCAGCAUUUUUCAGAGUUUUAUAAUGCUGGUCUACAAAUAAUUAUCCUGAAAAAAUACCAAGAAACUUAUAUAUAGCGAAGACGGUGCCGCAGACAAUAUUUAGAUGUUGCUAUUUUUAAGGACCACCCUAAUACACAUGUAUGUAUGCUAUAUUUAAUUUUAGGUACAUACAUAUAUACAUACAUAGAAAAUAAGCACAAAACAUAAAAAUUCUCAUAAACUAACACCAGAGAUGUGGUAAAAUAUUGUAUUUAUAUUUUCAGUAUGUGUGUGUGUGUGUGUAUGUUGAUCAUAGCUUUCAUACAUAAUAAUAUUUUGUUAACAUUGCAUACAUACAUAAGUAGUAAGCUUUUAGGCGUCAUUAGAAUGAUUAAGCUAAUUAUUAAUUAUAACAUAAUUCAAAAUACAAUAAAAUUAUCAACCGAAAAAAAACUUUAUUACUACAUAUAUACAGAUAAAAUGCAGAAGGGCUAUCAGCCAGCACCAAUAUCAUAAUUUAAAAGUGCAGCGACAAAACCAAAAAAAACAAUUGGCUUAUUUAAAAAAAUACUAGAAAUAUAUUA